ACGUAGUUGGCCGGACCUUCUUCUGCAGGUACCGUCAUUUUCGUCCCUGCUGAAAGGGGUUUACGACCCGAAGACCUUCAUCCCCCACGCGGCGUUGCUGCGUCAGGCUUUCGCCCAUUGCGCAAGAUUCCCU
rnacentral:rRNA from 1 species